rnacentral:piRNA from 1 species
UAAGUGACAUUAAACUUCAUGUAAUCCAGGGC